rnacentral:antisense_RNA from 1 species
UCACUGGCCACGCCCUCUCUGCAGGACUCCAGCCUCAAGAGCUUUAAGUCUCUCCCUGCGCUCCCUCACUGACACAGCUGGCGCCAGCUAGCAACCCUGGAAGUGCUCCUGUCCCUGGUCCCAGGUCCCUGGUCCCUGGUAUUUAUUUUUGUAAGACCAGCAGAGAUGCUCCAAGCUCCACAUGGUCUCAGCAAGACCCAAUCGCCACUUUCCUGGCACUCUGGGUAUUUCCUGAGCUCCACAAAAUUGCUCUCUGCUUCCCUCUCUUUCCGUGUUAUUCUUGCUUCUGGAACCCAACGUACCAUGUUUCUUGGCUUCUCGAACCCAAUAGUCCUCGCUGGACCCACACCCACUCCCGGGCGGCAGCUGCAGCGAGGGCGUGACGGAAGAGGCCAGAAGGACCGUCAGAACGCAGUGGGUGCUCUUCUACCUGCUUGUAUGCCUGCAGACCAGAAGAGGGCAUCAGGACCUUUGGAAGAACAGACAGCGCUUUUAACUGCUGAGCCAUCUCUCCAGUUCCCUUGUGUGUGUUUUUAAGCAGAAACUUGAAGAACUGUGGUUUCAUCAGCAAUGUCACAUGGGCUGGCAAGAUGGCUCAGAGAGUGAAGGCACUUGCUGCCAAACCUGACGAUCUGAGUUUUUAUCUCCAGGGACCCACAAGGUAGAACCAGUUCCCAUUGCUCUCUGGUCACCAAUGCAAAUGCACGAGUACAGAUACUCAAGUGCACAUGCAAACAUGCACACACACACACACACACAUACACACUCAUUUAUGCACAAUAAUUAAAGAACGAAAACCAGAAAGCUUAAAUACUCGGCGCCAAUAGAGACAGAUAUUUUCUUAAUAGGCGAAUCUCUCUUUGAAGUGUACUCUCAAGAAUGAUUAGAUCUGGAUAUAUAUAUAUAUUAUUUAAGUUCCCACUUUAGGGUGGGUUUUUUUUUUCAAGCUACUUCAAAUCAUUGCCCAAAUUUAAUGGCAGAUAGAAUGAAUUAAUCACAUGGUGGCCUACUCAAAGACAACUUGACAUGUCCUCUCACUUAAUCCUUUCGUAGCCCAUCAGUAGGGGCUGGCGUUCAAUGUCAGGCCAAAUUUAAAUAUUAAAAUGUUUGGUCAUUUUCCUUAAAGAUAAGGAUACUGAAGGCCACACAAAGAUUGACUUUUGUAUUUAAACUGGUAGUACAGACCAAACAUACAUCGUGGCCUUAAGCAGGCCAUUCUACAACCACUUUGACGGUAUUAGAAUAACAGUUACAGUGGUUUCUCCACAGACUCGCCACCCUCAGUAAAAUGAGAGACACUACUUGGUCAUCAGAUAUAUAGUAGAAGCAAGAUAUUUUUACUUCAGAAAAGCUAAUGAUCACAUAAUCAAUUCCACCUGGCAAGCCAGAGGCCUUUCUUAAAGGCAUAAACUAUCAAUAACUUUUCUGGCAGUUGGCACUGUACGUAGCAAUAUACCAAGAGAAACAAGUUGAGUUUGUUAAGCAGGCGGUCAGCUCCUGGAGGAAGGGUGUAAAGAAAGUACUAGCUCAUCCUCCUUCUUUGGGAGACAGUUUUCAGUUGAUACUGUAUAAGGAAAGCCUCAAAUAAAAGGUGGCAAUCCAGCUCCCUGAGCAAGUUGCCUGAAAUAUUUUUUUUGCACAAUAAAGCAUUAAUAAAGGUGGGCAGGAAUGAUUCCUGGCCCUAGAAUAUGCCAGCAAUUGGAAUUGGAGUAAUUAAAAAAUGAGGCUGAAGAGCGAUGCUUCAUCCACCUAGCUUUGGCCCGCUUUUGAAAUUUUACAUGUACAAAUGCAUCAAAGUUGCAGGGAGCUCUGGGACACAUGGGCUGCAAAGUGGGACUGUCCAUCGGUGCUGUGUUCAUUAAUGACACACAGGCAAUUGACAGUGUAGUGCGGUGGAGGUGUUUCCAUUCAACAGGGAGGACCGAGCAGAGGGCAACUGAAACACUGCAGCCAUGUGCAGCAGGUAAGAGGUGAGGCUUCAAUGUGCAAUCCACAUCAACCUCAACCUCAAGAACCUCCACCCUCAAGUCUCUCAGAUCGGAUCGUCAUUCAACACCUCAAAUUAAAAAGAAUUAAAAAGCACGAGCCUUCACACCUGGGUAGUCACUUAAAACGAUGGCAUAAGAGGUACCAAGGUAACUCAAAUCCUUGUAGGACAGUGAGUCUUCACAGUCUACUUCAAUCCUCUACACCAAGUAGAAGUGCCCAUUUUUGACUAGUUAAGUCAAGAGGCAACCAAUACUUCCAAAGUAGUACACAUUUCUGAUUAAGUGGCAAAUUUCCAACUGGGCUUCGAGUGGCACAAGGUAAAACCAAGCACUCACAUCUUAAUGCACUAAGUACAUCUUGGACAAGGACAAAGCCCGCCAUGUGUGGCUAAGCAAAGCCCGCCAAGAUUAAGCCCGCCAAGACUAAGCCCGCCAAGACUAAGCCCGCCAAGAAUAUAUCAGAAAAAAACCCUCAAGGGACAAUCACGUGACAUCGCCAUCUUGGCCACCCCAAAGCAUGUGCUACAUUGUCCUCUAGGCUAACUUUGGCCACCAGACUGGCCUGUGAAAAACAAAGCCAGCUUCCUUAUACUGCAGCAAGAGCUCGAGACGCCAUCUUCUCUUGUAUAACCUAAAUGCCCUACUUCCACAUUACAUGUUAGAAUAAAGGUGGGGUUGUCGAGCCUUGGGUAGAGCAGCCGAGGCACCAUUUGAUAAACCCUAACAAGCACCCCUUAGAAUCUGGGCAGAGCACCCAGCAAUAUCGAAACAUCGAUUUCAAGCCCUAUCCUGAAGUCUUAUAAAGCUCCUUUCACAUAACACCACACAUGAACACGAGAGCUUGAUUUUCUGAUUCCAGUUACCAUGAGUCUUAAAAAGCCACAAAUCAAGUCCAAACCCACACACAUAUAAAGCCUUUAGCUGGUGCAGCACACAUGAUUGCCUCUGUCCAGUCCACUGUCUACCUCGACCCCCUAAUUCUUGCCAUAACUGGCUCAUGUCACGCAGCAACUGUAACAUGGCGGAAACGGGCUCUCCACGCCCUUAACACCCACUCAGCUUAAGUGCAGUCAUUUUUCUAAGCCAUAGUUUCACUCACACACCACCAAACGAUCAGCAGCACAGCAAGAGGAAAGAAAAGAGGUAUGGCUAUUCCAGGUAGUACAAUAAUAACUCACAAAACCAACUUAUAUCCAUCCACCAAAUGCCCCGAUGGGCGAGGAAAAAAAUGAAGCAGGUAUCCACGGCCCCGGUGGGCAAAAAGAGAAAAAAAAAAAAUUAAGCAGGUAUCCAAGGCCCCGAUGGGCAAGGAAAGACUAAACUAGCAGGUAUCCGAGGUCCCGAUGGACCAAGAAAUACGUUUUCUUGUAAAAAAGCAGGUAUCCAUUACCCGAUGGGCUAAGGAAAAAAAAAAAAAGGAGCAGGUAUCCUCAGCCCAGAUGGGCAAGUUUAGAAGAAGAAAAAGAAGAGAAGGAAGAGGGAAAAAACAAAACGAAUUAAAAGCAGGUACGUUUCCACAGCCCCACUGGACAUGGAGUGAAGGGGCAGGGAAGGAGGACAGACAUUCAACUGUAGCCCCCAUGGGCAAAAACAGAGAUGGAAUAAAAGAAAGGUAAGUGCACAAAAGUCCACAAAACAGAGAUGGCGACUAAAAUGACUGACAAGGAAAUAGUCAUUAAAAAUGAAAAAUUGUCCAAAAAUAUUACAAAUAUCAAAAUAUGAAAGACGUGUCAAGAAAAGCCUACCAGAACAUAUAAAAUCUUCAAAAAUAUUAUAGAAUCUUGAUAUAUUUUCUUAAUUACACCAUAAGGCAUGGUGGUGAGGGAACUAAAAAUGUUCCCAGAGACCCCGAUAGAUGGACAGAGACCACAGAGGAGGCUCACAUCCACGGGAAACUGGCAAACAUGGCUGCGGCAAGCACUUGCAUGGUUUUAAAUGAUCGUGACGCCGAAGGCGGAGAGACCAGAAGAGGAGUGGCCAGAAAUGCGGAAAAGUCCCGACUUCUUAUUGGCGUUUUAAUGCAAACUAUUUUCUAAAAAGAGUAAUUAAGAUGAAAAUUAAUUAUGAUUGUACCAAAACUCAUGACAGAGCGAUCGAGAACCACCAAAUUUGUAUAUUUUGUGUGAUAUUGAAGGAUUAUCCUCUAUUUUAUAGCUUAUAGGAAAGGCACAUAAACGUUGUAUAAUGUAUAUGCAUAUUUUCAAUAUAUCGUCUACUUGGACAUCCAACCUUGCAUAGCCCCUCGUCUUGGUGACUAAAAUGCUUUACGGAUCAAUUGGUGGGCUCGAGGUAAGGAAAAAGAAGAGGUGCUUCACAAAAUCGUUCCUUGGUUCCUAAAUUAUUAGGGUAUUAUUGGCUGUGACCUAUUUGUACUGAUUGCGCACAGAAUUUUGGUUCUGUAUCAUUUUUGUACUUUCCGGGAAUCUGGUAACUCCAAACUUUGAACCAAAAAGGCACUAAAAAGUUUACUUGCUAGCAGCGGUAGAGAAACAGCUCAGCGGUAUGGCACUUGCCCUAGAGAAACAGUUAACUUAGAGAAUUGUCCAAUUUUAUUCAUUGAAAACCACAGAACAGCCGCCUGAAAGAGAUUAGACACUGGGUGUUAAGAACAAUCAAAGAAUACAGUGCUUGGUUGAUUCAAUUAAACAAAAUGGUCACUUUGAGCAUCUGAUGAAUAACAACACAAAAUUGUUUUUGCUUAGGGACCUUCCAAGUACCUACAAUUCACUAAUCUGAACAUCGCAGUGGUUCACAUAGGGACAGAAAUGAAGAAACGAUGCCUUCAUUUCUACUGAAGAAACCCUGUCUCAACAAAAGAACAUGAAAAUAAUGAAUAAACAAAUGGUAUACACAGCCUGAAUGAGCCAGCAGAUGGCGGCAUGAAUCUUUCAAAGGCAUUUGAAGCCAGCCUUGGAGUCCAAGAUUGGGAUCUGAAUUCGCCUCAAGAAACCCAUGUCUUGUCAGCCUAAAAUAUACUGGGGGGAUUUGGUCUUGCAUAAAAAAGUUGAAUAAAAGCCGGGCGGUGGUGACACACGCCUUUAAUCCCAGCACUCAGGAGGCAGAGGCAGGCGGAUCUCGGGGAGUUUGAGGCCAGCCUGGUCUACAAAGAGCUAGUUCUGGGACAGGCACCAAAGCUACAGAGAAACCCUGUCUCGAAAAACCAAAAAAAAAAAAAAAGUUGA